rnacentral:lncRNA from 1 species
AUGUGGAAAUUAUCUUUCUAUUAAGCAUCUAACUGUUCCUUUGUGUCGAUAUCAUUGCAGUUUUUUCCAAACUUCAUAUGUCUCUGUUUUCAAGGAUGGCAACAUACCAUUUUCCUAUAUCGAAAAGUACAUUGUAAAGAAGCUAGUUCUAAACCAUGACUCUGAGGUACUUGCUUUGAACAGUUUCCAAUCAAGCCAGACCUGACCUCU